UACGUAGGGUGCAAGCGUUAAUCGGAAUUACUGGGCGUAAAGCGUGCGCAGGCGGCUUUGCAAGACAGAUGUGGAAAUCCCCGGGCUUAACCUGGGAACUGCAUUUGUGACUGCAUGGCUAGAGUGCGGCAGAGGGGGAUGGAAUUCCGGGUGUAGCGGUGGAAUGCGUAGAGAUCCGGAAGAACACCGGUGGCGAAGGCGAUCUGCUGGGCAGUUGCUGACACUGGAGGCGCGCAGCGUGGGGAG
rnacentral:rRNA from 1 species